rnacentral:tRNA from 1 species
GCCGGGAUAUCUCAGUUGGUAGAGCA